GACGAACGCUGGCGGCGUGCUUAACACAUGCAAGUCGAACGGAAAGGCCCUGCUUUUGUGGGGUGCUCGAGUGGCGAACGGGUGAGUAACACGUGAGUAACCUGCCCUUGACUUUGGGAUAACUUCAGGAAACUGGGGCUAAUACCGGAUAGGAGCUCCUGCUGCAUGGUGGGGGUUGGAAAGUUUCGGCGGUUGGGGAUGGACUCGCGGCUUAUCAGCUUGUUGGUGGGGUAGUGGCUUACCAAGGAUUUGACGGGUAGCCGGCCUGAGCGGGUGACCGGCCACAUUGGGGCUGAGAUACGGCCCAGACGCCUACGGGAGGAAGCAGUGGGGAAUAUUGCACAAUGGGCGGAAGCCUGAUGCAGCAACGCCGCGUGCGGGAUGACGGCCGUCGGGUUGUAAACCGCUUUCGCCUGUGACGAGGCGUGAGUGACGGUAAUGGGUAAAGAAGCACCGGCUAACUACGUG
rnacentral:rRNA from 1 species